UGAUAGUGCGGGUGUGGAGCGGCUACUCGGCGGGUCUCGGUUCUCUUUGCUGGGUGUGAGUGUGUGGAGAGGACGUGUGGGCCGGUCUGUGGCUGAAAGAUGAUUUAAUCUUCCAAAUUGUGCAGAUCCCAACGGAGUUGGAACCAGCUGAUCCAGCACAGUUUUGCAAGCUUCUGUGUUUAACUCUUUGACCAUAAUGUGUGUGUUGUAUUAUGUGAAUAUGAAAUAAAGUUUAAUAUUAAACACUG